ACGAGAAUCCGCGUGUUCAAUCUUUCGGGAAAGAACAUGUGGAGGAGAGUGGCGAAAGGGUGAGUAACGCGUGGGUAAUCUGCCCUUAAAUCGGGGACAACCUCUCGAAAGGGGGGCUAAUACCGGAUGUGGUCUCCUUGGGCAUCCAGGGAUGAUCAAAGGCGGGGAACCUUCGGGACCUGUCGUUUAAGGAGGAGCCCGCGUACCAUCAGCUUGUUGGUAGGGUAACGGCCUACCAAGGCUUACGGUUAGCUGGUCUGAGAGGAUGGUCAGCCACACUGGGACUGAGACACUGCCCAGACUCCUACGGGAGGCUGCAGUCGAGAAUCGUUGAAAUGCGCGAAAGCGUGAUCACGCGACGCUGCGUGGAGGAUGAAGGCCUUCGGGUUGUAAACUCUUGUCAUUCGGGAAAAAAGGCUUCGGCAGAAAUAUGGUCGGAGCUGUGAUGGUACCGGAAGAGGAAGCCACGGCUAACUCUGUGCCAGCAGCCGCGGUAAUACAGAGGUGGCGAGCGUUGUUCGGAAUCACUGGGCGUAAAGGGCGCGUAGGCGGCUUCUUGAGUCGAGGGUGAAAACCUAUGGCUUAACCAUAGGCCUGCCCCCGAAACUGAGAAGCUUGAGGCCGUAAGAGGAAAGCGGAAUUCCUGGUGUAUCGGUGAAAUGAGUUGAUAUCAGGAGGAACACCGGUGGCGAAGGCGGCUUUCUGGUGCGGUUCUGACGCUGAGGUGCGAAAGCGUGGGGAGCAACAGGAUUAGAUACCCUGGUAGUCCACGCGGUAAACGAUGGAUACUAGGUGUAGGAG
rnacentral:rRNA from 1 species